CCUGCAUACUUGAGGCCUUCUAAGGUGCCUGUUAACAGAAGUUGUUCAGAGAAUCUAAUCUUUAUUGUAAUUGAAUCUGCUGUAAAAUUCAAUUUCGGAGGAUGAGCUAUGGAUCACUGUGCAUGGAACAUAAAGAAGAGCAAUCUUUACUACCCCACCUCCUUACCAUUUUAUAAG